rnacentral:misc_RNA from 1 species
GAUGAAGAACGUAGCGAAAUGCGAUAAGUAAUGUGAAUUGCAGAAUUCAGUGAAUCAUCGAAUCUUUGAACGCACAUUGCGCCCGCCAGUAUUCUGGCGGGCAUGCCUGUUCGAGCGUCAUUUCAACCAUCAAGCCCCCGGCUUGUGUUGGGGACCUGCGGCUGCCGCAGGCCCUGAAAACCAGUGGCGGGCUCGCUAGUCACUCCGAGCGUAGUAAUACAUCUCGCUCAGGGCGUGCUGCGGGUUCCGGCCGUUAAAAAGCCUUAUUUACCCAAGGUUGACCUCGGAUCAGGUAGGAAGACCCGCUGAACUUAAGCAUACCAAUAAGCGGAGGA